CCUACGGGUGGCAGCAGUGGGGAAUUUUGCGCAAUGGGGGAAACCCUGACGCAGCAACGCCGCGUGCGGGACGAAGGCCCUCGGGUUGUAAACCGCUUUCAGCAGGGAAGACUUUACGACGGUACCUGCCGAAUAAGCUCCGGCUAACUACGUGCCAGCAGCCGCGGUAAUACGUAGGGGGCGAGCGUUAUCCGGAUUCAUUGGGGGUAAAGCGCGCGUAGGCGGCCGCUUAAGCGGGAGCUCUACCCCCGGGGCUCAACCCCGGGCCGGGUCCCGGACUGGGCGGCUCGAGUGCGGUAGAGGAGAGCGGAAUGCGCGGUGUAGCGGUGGAAUGCGCAGAUAUCGGGAAGAACACCGAUGGCGAAGGCAGCUGUCUGGGCCGUCACUGACGCUGAGGCGCGAAAGCUGGGGGAGCGAACAGGAUUAGAUACCCGAGUAGUC
rnacentral:rRNA from 1 species